UACGUAGGUGGCGAGCGUUGUCCGGAUUUAUUGGGCGUAAAGGGCGUGUAGGCGGCCUGUUAAGUCGGGGGUGAAACCCCGGGGCUCAACCCCGGGCGUGCCUCUGAUACUGAUGGGCUUGAGUGCUCUAGAGGGCAGUGGAAUUGCCGGUGUAGCAGUGAAAUGCGUAGAGAUCGGCAGGAACACCAGUGGCGAAGGCGGCUGCCUGGGGAGUAACUGACGCUGAGGCGCGAAAGCUAGGGGAGCAAACAGG
rnacentral:rRNA from 1 species